UAAAAUCUUAAAAAAAAGAAAUGUUCCAGAUUUAAGGAGGCUAAAGGAAAAUGACAACCCUAGAUAGGGUCUAAUACUGGAGUGGAAAAAAAUGAUACAAGGGUUUAUUGACAAAGGCAGAAUUUCUUCAGACAGGUAUGUAAGGAGGCGGUGGCUCUUUCUCAGGCAUCUUCACGGCCAUUUCAUAGGUUGGCAAAACAUACUGUGGAGGUGCUUCAAAG